CAGCGGAGGGAUCAUUACCGAGUUUACAACUCCCAAACCCAUUGUGAACUUAUACCCAAAACGUUGCCUCGGCGGGCACAGCGGUACCCGAGCCCCCGCAAGGGAGCAAAGGCGCCCCGUCCGCCAGGGGACCAAAACUCUUCUGUAUACCCAUAGCGGCAUGUCUGAGUGGAUUUACAAACAAAUGAAUCAAAACUUUCAACAACGGAUCUCUUGGUUCUGGCAUCGAUGAAGAACGCAGCGAAAUGCGAUACGUAAUGUGAAUUGCAGAAUUCAGUGAAUCAUCGAAUCUUUGAACGCACAUUGCGCCCGCCAGUAUUCUGGCGGGCAUGCCUGUUCGAGCGUCAUUUCAACCCUCAAGCCCUGCUUGGUGUUGGGGACCGGCUCAGCGGGUGCGGGCUUCGGCCCGCCCCGUGCCGCCCCCGAAAUGGAUCGGCGGUCUCGUCGCAGCCUUCUUUGCGUAGUAACCUACCACCUCGCAACAGGAGCGCGGCGCGGCCACUGCCGUAAAACGCCCAACUUUUUAGAGUUGACCUCGAAUCAGGUAGGAAUACCCGCUGAACUUAAGCAUAUCAAU
rnacentral:rRNA from 1 species